GCCAAGGUCGCGGGUUCGAUCCCCGUACGGGCCACAGGCUUUUCUAAUGUUUAUUUCACAGUAACAAUUAUGUUUCACAGUAGCAACUGUGGGCAGUGAUACAGAAAGUCAUGAGAGAACACGAAAGUAAAUGUAUUUGUACCCAGUAAUCUUGAUGGGACGUAGUCCGCUGAAUCGUACGGUUGCGUUUGCAGUUUAGUGUUCCUGCAAGAGCAGAUGACGAAGAGAGCUAAGAUUCGAGAAAGAAAUUGAAAUCCGGGAGGAACGUGAAAAACAGAGGCGAAAACACGGAAAUAAGGACCUGGGCUUUUCAUUCCUUUACGAUUUCCAAAGCGUACAAAUCUUUCUCUGUCGUGACUAACUCCUGAUAUGGGCUUUCCUAACUGUGCAUCUGCUUACUUCCCGCAGACCUGUCCUUGGCUUGUGCAGGGUAAGUAAAGCCUCUCAAAAACUCCCAUUUUUCAUUUCUAUUUCCUCUCUUUUAGCUUCCCUCACUCAACUCUAGAGAUACUGGACUUAAGGAAAUGUCCCCAUAGAACGCUGAGCCUUUCACCUCCUCUUUGCUCGUCUCACGGCUUUGUUAGACACGAAACCAUCUUCUGGAAAAUGUCUUCCCUGACACCUCUCCUACUUUUCUGAGUUUGGGUUGCUUUCCUCCUAGCACUCACGGAGAUCCAGGCACAAAAUUGCCUUGUAUUCAAGUUCCAAGUACCAACCAGCCUUCCACGUGUUGUUGUUUCAAAGAUAACUCUAUUUGCAAAGCCUUUACGCUACUGUUCAGAGAUUUCCGGAGUGUGUGCAACUUCAGUGAGGACUGGAAAGUGGGCCAUUGCGCAGUUCAGCUCUCAGGCUCUUUGUAGGUCUUUUACCAGUGAAGCAUUCAAGAUGGCUGGUACUUCCUCGUUUUCUUCGACAGGUGACUAAUGAAGCCGUUCUCCACGUUGUACUGUAUGGACAUGCGGCCCCAAGUGACAACAUCGAUCCCACUACCUCUCACAUGCUAAGCGAGUACUCUACCACUUGAGCUCAUUCGUCACCUACCGCAAAACUUUCUGCCCUUUCCUUUAUUCAGGAGUAGAUGUGCGCGAUUACCACCAUUUCUUGCGUCUCGGAACAAAGGAAAUGUCUGGAUUAUUAAUGGGGAACCAGGACUCGACCUAAGGCGAGUCUACUCAAAAAUGGCCAAGGGCAAGGGCAUGAUGGCUAUUCCUCUGCGAGGGAGAGGGGAAAACGUAACCAGGAGAAAGUGGACACUGGAAAAGUCUGGUGCUGUAAGAUUUCACGUUCCAGAUUUUCAGGGAGAGAAGCGAGCACGUCCCAGCUGGGGAGCGCCCGCCCAGAGCGGCCUGCUAAUUUGGCACAGCUAUCCCAGGAUGACGAUCUUUCUUUUAAAAGAGGCGGGAUAAUCACUUGUUCCUUGCAGCUCUGGACUCCCGGGAAGAAGCGGCCACUCCCGGUCAGAUUCUGGGAGACCAGAGAAACCUGUUGUUUCCGUUGAGUUUCAAAUAGAGGACCUUCCAUGUGUUAGGCCAGCGUGGUAACUACUACACCAUAGAAACCCUUUGCAUCACAGGCUUUUUAUAUUUUGAGAUG